AAAGUUGAUAUAUAUAUAAUGAAAGUCGGAAUAUAGAAUGUUCAGAUUUUCAUUCCAUCUAUUCAAAGUUUCAUUCCAUAUAUUCAGACUUUUUCCUACUGAGCCCUGGAAGAACAUGGCAAACAAAAACAGGAACCUUAUUGGACAUUUGCUCUUCAGAUGAGCUCUUCUGUGAUUAUCUAUCUGUCUUCAUGGUUGUCACAGGGAACGGCGACUACGUUUGAGAAAACAGCUGGUCUUAAGGCUAAUUACGAGGCAGAGGUCAGCUGCUGCCUGGACACAUCCAUGAUCACGCCACUGGUGGGACACAAUUGCACUGGAUUUCAGCUGAAGGCUGCUGUUCUGUCCAAACUGAGACAUUUUUAUUGUGACAUACCCUCCACUGUUGUUAGCUUUUGAUUCAAUAAAUUUUUUUGAGAUGAGGAAAUCA